UGUUAAAGCUCUCGGCUUAACCGGGAACAUGCAGAGGAAACGCAGAACUAGAGGAUGCGAGAGGUGUGCGGAACUCAUGGUGUAGGGGUGAAAUCCGUUGAUAUCAUGGGGAACACCGAAAGCGAAGGCAGCACACUGGCGCACUCCUGACACUGAAACACGAAAGCGUGGGUAGCGAAUGGGAUUAGAUACCCCAGUAGUCCACGCCCUAAACGAUCUUCACUAGCUAUUCGGAGUAUCGACCCUCUGAGUGGCGUAGCUAACGCGUUAAGUGAAGCGCCUGGGUAGUACGGCCGCAAGGCUAAAACUCAAAGGAAUAGACGGGGACUUGCACAAGCAGUGGAUUAUGUGGCUUAAUUCGAUGCCAAACGAAGAACCUUACCAGGGUUUGAAACCUACUUGAAAGCUUUAGGAAACUUUAGCCCUCGCAAGACAAGUAGGCAGGUGAUGCAUGGCCGUCGUCAGUUCGUGGUUU
rnacentral:rRNA from 1 species